rnacentral:tRNA from 1 species
GAGCAGUGGAAGCUCGUCGGGCUCAUAACCCGAAGGCCGUUGGUUCGAAUCCAACCCCCGCUACCA